GUUUCUAUGAAGUAUGAAUGAAGAUUGGGUUUCUAACGCAAUGAUCCGAGGCACAUCCGUAUUAUAGUUAACCAGCCCGUUAUCUUCCGACCAGGCUGAGUUUGUGGUGUUCCUUUAUAAUGUGCAGCUAAUAUAAAUAGUCCCACAUAUUGUCUUGGAGGCAAAUCUGGUUUUGUUUCCCUCAUGAACAAUUGCAUGAUCCGUUAAUGAAUAUUGCACGGCUAAUAGUCUUGUGAUAUUUACUAUUUUAAUGUCUUUCCUCCGUGUUAG
rnacentral:misc_RNA from 1 species